rnacentral:rRNA from 1 species
GACGAACGCUGGCGGCGUGCCUAAUACAUGCAAGUCGAACGCAGUGGGGACGGGUGAGUAACACGUUGGUAACCUCCCAUCAGAGGGGAUAACACUUGGAAACAGGUGCUAAACCGAUACUGAUGGAUGGACUCGCGGUGAAUUAGCUAGUUGGUGAGGUAACGGCUCACCAAGGGCGCGAUGCAUAGCGGACCUGAGAGGGUGAUCGGCCACACUGGGACUGAGACACGACCCAGACUCCUACGGGAGGCAGCAGUAGGGAAUCUUCGGCAAUGGACAAAAGUCUGACCGAGCAACGCCGCGUAAGUGCAGAAGGUUUUCGGAUCGUAAAACUCUGUUGUUAGAGAAGCGGUAUCUAACCAGAAAGCCACGGCUAACUACGUGCCAGCAGCCGCGGUAAUAC